CGUCACGAAUUGUAUGUGUAUAAUAUACGGCCAUUACACUUUGUGACUGUGUGAGGGUGUUAAAAUUGUAAUAAUAUACAUAAGAAGAAUGUUUGUUAGCUGGGUUUAAGUAGUAUACCUCAUCUCCAUGUUCUCGGCUAGUAAAUUGAAUUAACAGCAAUCCAGCAAAUUUUCAAUUUCAAUCAUAAUUGAUGUGCAAGCAAAGCAAAGCAAAGUGCAAGCGCCGUUCUUCUUUGUUCAGCUGUGAAAGAGAGUGUAACAAAAGUGUGUAGUGUUAAAGUAAAGUAAAAAAAAUUCAAUUAGAAAAUUAACAUUCCAUUUGGUUUGGUGAGGCACUUCGAAGUAGAGACGAAGGAGUUAUGUUUAGCAUUAGCGAAUUAUGCUGCAUGUUCUGCUGCCCGCCUUGUCCCGGACCGAUUGCUGCCAAACUCGCUUUCCAGCCACCUGAGCCAACAUACAAAUUGACGCCAGCUGAUGACACAAACAUCAAAUACAAUUUACAGCUAUAUGAUCGCGCAGAGUGGCAGUACUCGGAACGUGAGAAAUCCAAAAUCGAGGCGUUCUUCACCCGCACAUCUCGGGGCAAUUUGAUAACAUGCACCUAUGUGCGUUGCAGCAAGAAUGCAAAAUAUACGCUGCUCUUUUCACAUGGCAACGCCGUCGAUUUGGGUCAAAUGAGUAGCUUUUAUCUCACACUCGGCUCGCAAAUCAAUUGCAACAUCUUUGGCUACGAUUAUUCGGGAUAUGGCAUGAGUGGUGGCAAACCCUCCGAGAAGAAUCUUUAUGCAGAUAUCGAGGCAGCUUGGCAAGCAAUGCGAACAAGGCUUAAUAUUAGUCCAGAGACUAUCAUAUUAUAUGGCCAAAGUAUAGGCACAGUUCCCACUGUGGACUUGGCAUCACGACAUGAAGUCGGCGCCGUAAUUCUGCAUUCACCAUUGAUGUCCGGACUGCGGGUUGUCUUUAGAAACACAAAACGAACGUGGUUCUUUGAUGCCUUUCCAAGUAUUGAUAAGGUGCCGAAAGUGAAAUCACCUGUUUUGGUUAUUCACGGCACUGAUGACGAGGUCAUUGAUUUUUCUCACGGCAUUGGCAUUUAUGAGCGAUGUCCCAAGACUGUCGAACCAUUUUGGGUGGAGGGAGCUGGACAUAACGAUGUGGAACUGCAUCCCCAAUAUUAUGAGCGGUUGAGAAAGUUUCUUUCCGUUGAACUGAUCAAAUGACAAUUAAAGAAUAAUGUCGUCGAGGCAGGCGGUCGUAGCAGUACAUCUGCUGAUGGAGCAGCUGAUACAAAUCUAAAUAUCGCAGCUAGUUUGAAAUAUAGUCAAAAAACGCCGCAGACAUCAACAACAACAGCUUCAACAGCGACCGAACGUGAAUCUAAUAUCAAAAACAAUAAGCCAGACGACAACGAUGGAUAUACAGCUUCCGGUUCGAUUUCAAUUAAAGAUCUUGCAGAAAAGUUUCUCUAGCAAAAACAAGCCUUGCUCACAAUUAAUGCAGGCCAUAAACUUAACAAAUUUCAAUAUUUCACAAGGAUGCGCAAGCCAUACAUAGAUACCGAAACAUCUGGAAAAUAGUUUAUUGAUUGAGAAGGAAAGAUUGUCGACAAAUUAAGUGACAACAUCAUCGUAACACAACACACAGCUCUCCCAAUAAAUACACUGUCUCUUAUUACACCAUUCUUAUAUUGCCGAUGCCGAAGCAUUCGAAUUUAGUAUUCCAAUAUCCCGCACAAUACUCUUCUUGGCCAAUAUACAUACUUAUAUAAAUAAUUUAUUAGCUUAAUACAAAAUCUGUUUAAAAAUCAAUAAUGGUACAGAAUUUUAAGAAACCUUCAGUGAUAAUUAAAGAUUUACAACCAUUCCAUGAACAUGUAGUGGUAAAUGUAGUCGUAAAUCUUAUGAGAAUAAAGAUUAUAAUAAAUAAA